UACAUGGGGUGCAAACGUUGCUCGGAAUUAUUGGGCGUAAAGCGCGCGUAGGCGGUUAUCUAAGUCGGAUGUGAAAUCCCCCGGCUCAACUGGGGAACUGCACAGGAAACUAGCGGGCUUGAGUUCGGGAGAGGGAAGCGGAAUUCCGGGUGUAGCGGUGAAAUUCGUAGAUAUCAGGAAGAACACCCGUGGCGAAGGCGGCUCUCUGGGCCGUAACUGACGCUGAGGAGCGAAAGCAUGGGGAGCGAACAGG
rnacentral:rRNA from 1 species